CCCCUGGGAGCGGAAUACCGGCGAGAAAUCGCCGACAAGACCGCAUGGGCUGGCCCCCUCAGCAAGAGAGGGUCAGCAAAGCUGGCUUUGUAGUGAAGGCGGCGCCCGGGGAUGAGUCCGCGGCCGAUUAGCUAGUUGGUGAGGUAAGGGCUCACCAAGGCGACGAUCGGUAGCUGGUCUGAGAGGACGAUCAGCCACACUGGGAUUGAGAACGGCCCAG
rnacentral:rRNA from 1 species